GAUGAAGAACGCAGCGAAAUGCGAUACGUAAUGUGAAUUGCAGAAUUCAGUGAAUCACCGAAUCUUUGAACGCAUAUUGCGCUCUCUGGUAUUCCGGAGAGCAUGCUUGUUUGAGUAUCAGUAAACACCUCAACUCCCUUUUCUUUUUUGAAAUUGGAGCUGGACUUGAGUGAUCCCAACGCUUUCUUCCAAGAAAGUGGCGGGUUGCUUGAAAUGCAGGUGCAGCUGAACUUUUCUCUGAGCUAUAAGCAUAUCUAUUUAGUCUGCCUAAAAAACAGAUUAUUACCUUUGCUGCAGCUAACAUAAAGGAGACUAGUUCUUGUGCUGACUGAUGCAGGAUUCACAGAGACAGCUUCGGCUGACUUUGUAAACUCGAUCUCAAAUCAAGUAAGACUACCCGCUGAACUUAAGCAUAUCAAUAAGCGGAGGA
rnacentral:misc_RNA from 1 species